rnacentral:rRNA from 1 species
UCGAUAUGUGAAUACAUAGCAUAUCAGAAGGCACACCCGGAGAACUGAAACAUCUUAGUACCCGGAGGAAGAGAAAGAAAAUUCGAUUCCCUUAGUAGCGGCGAGCGAAACGGGAAGAGCCCAAACCAACAAGCUUGCUUGUUGGGGUUGUAGGACACUCUAUACGGAGUUACAAAGGACGACAUUAGACGAAUCAUCUGGAAAGAUGAAUCAAAGAAGGU